CAGAAAGUUCAUUUGACUUGCUUUACUGUGGCAUCUGCUGUGUCAUGGUGGUCUGAGCUAGACCCCGGGUGUCACUGAGGACCUACGUGGCAUCCGGGAAAGAGCAAGCACGAGUGAACAUUUGUCACCUGAAUGCACAGUCACGUUGCCUGUACUUCCUCUUCCGUGUGGCCUCACACAGGUUCCUUACUCAAGGCUCAGAAUCCGCACCCGGGAAAUGCGGCCGGCAAACACCUGACG